rnacentral:rRNA from 1 species
UCGAGAAUUUUUCUCAAUGGGCGAAAGCCUGAAGGAGCGACGCCGCGUGGGGGAUGAAUGGCUUCGGCCCGUAAACCCCUGUCAUUUGCGAACAAACCUUUCCACCUAAUACGUGGAGAGCUGAUUGUAGCGGAAGAGGAAGGGACGGCUAACUCUGUGCCAGCAGCCGCGGUAAUACAGAGGUCCCAAGCGUUGUUCGGAUUCACUGGGCGUAAAGGGUGCGUAGGCGGUCGGGUAAGUCUGGUGUGAAAUCCCGCAGCUCAACUGCGGAAUGGCACUGGAUACUAUUCGGCUGGAGGGUUGGAGGGGGGACUGGAAUUCUCGGUGUAGCAGUGAAAUGCGUAGAUAUCGAGAGGAACACCAGUGGCGAAGGCGAGUCCCUGGACAACUCCUGACGCUGAGGCACGAAAGCUAGGGGAGCAAACAGGAUUAGAUACCCCUGUAGUCC